rnacentral:rRNA from 1 species
GGGAUAACAGGCUUAUCUCCCCCAAGAGUCCACAUCGACGGGGAGGUUUGGCACCUCGAUGUCGGCUCAUCGCAUCCUGGGGCUGUAGUCGGUCCCAAGGGUUGGGCUGUUCGCCCAUUAAAGCGGUACGCGAGCUGGGUUCAGAACGUCGUGAGACAGUUCGGUCCCUAUCCGUCGCGGGCGCAGGAAAUUUGAGAGGAGCUGUCCUUAGUACGAGAGGACCGGGAUGGACGCACCGCUGGUGUACCAGUUGUUCUGCCAAGGGCAUCGCUGGGUAGCUAUGUGCGGACGGGAUAAGUGCUGAAAGCAUCUAAGCAUGAAGCCCCCCUCAAGAUGAGAUUUCCCAUUCCUAUAAGGAAGUAAGAUCCCUGAAAGAUGAUCAGGUUGAUAGGUCUGAGGUGGAAGUGUGGCGACACAUGGAGCUGACAGAUACUAAUCGAUCGAGGACUUAACCUA